UAAGUACUCUUUAAGAUACCUUCGAGACUAGGAGGUUGAUAGGUUGGGGGUGUAAGAGUUGUGAGACUUUUAGCUGACCAAUACUAAUAUAUCGAAGUUUUAACCUUAAUAUACUACUAUAUAGUUU
rnacentral:rRNA from 1 species